rnacentral:ncRNA from 1 species
CAUCUAUAAACGGAAAUUCCAGUUUUAGAUAAUGGAGGGGAAUAUGAGGUACCCAUCAACUUGCAGACACUGUAUUUCGUUGAUUAAUCCUCGUCGUCUAAUUAGUGACGCGCAUGAGUGGAUCAACGAGAUUCCCACUGUCCCUGUCCACUGUCUAGCGAAACCACAUCCAAGAGAACGGGCUAGGACGGACCGGCGAGAAAAGACCCUGUUGGGUCGACAUUCGGCAGACUCUCUU